rnacentral:tRNA from 1 species
GGUUCUAUGGUGUAAUGGUUAGCACUUUGGACUUUGAAUCCAGCGAUCCGUGUUCAAGUCUCGGUAGAACCU